AGCUUUUCACUCUUGUCUUUCUUUCUCCUCCUUUAUUUCAUUAUAGAGUAUUUUGUAAGAGAGUGAGUGUUGGGAAACACUUGUGUGAACCCUUUCUUUGGAGUGAUCUUGUGAGGUUAUUCUCUUGGGGUAUUUGGGAUUAAUUAGAGUAUUUACUCUAAUUUUGUACUCUCUUUUGUACUCUUGUUGGUAUAGUGAAAUUGCUCAUCUCCGCUUGUGGACGUAGGUUACCUUGACCGAACCACGUUAAAUUUGUGUCUUCUUUAUAUUCUUUAAUUGCCGUUAUUAUCAACUUUUAUUGUCUUUGUUAUUGUCAUUAUAACAAAUGCUGACACUGCCGAAGCAAGUGUAGCUGCUGAUGAGACUGAGGGAACUAUUUUUUUAGCAACUAAUAAUAGUUUCAAAUCUAACAAUGAGUGGAUUUUAGAUUCGGGUUAUUCUUAUCAUAUGUGUCCCAGUCGGGAUUUAUUUACCACAUAUGAAUCUAUUGGAGGUGGAGUUGUCUUGAUGGGCAACAAUGCUGCCUGGAAAGUUAUUGAAAAAGGUACAGUCCGAUCAAAGUGCACGAUGGUGUGAUGAGAACUCUCACCGAUGUUAGACAUGUUACUGCCUUGAAUAAAAAUCUCAUCUCUUUGGGCACUCUAGAAUCUCUUGGGUGCAAGUACACAUGUGAAGGUAGAGUUCUGAAAAUUUCUCAUGGUGCUCUUGUGAUAAUGAAAGCACGCAGAUCUGAUACGUUGUAUACUCUUUUGGGAUCUACUGUUACAGGUGCUGCUGCAGUUUCAAUAUCAGAUAAAUCAGAUUCUGACAUUACCAAAUUGUGGCAUAUACGAUUGGGGCAUAUGAGUGAAAAAAGUCUUUCCAUCCUCAGUAAAAGAGGUCUCUUAUGCGGCCAAAGUACCGGAAAUAUGGAGUUUUGUGAACAUUGUGUGUUCGGGAAGUAGAAAAGAGUGAGCUUCAAAUCUCCAGCGAUUCAUAGAACAAAAGGUACUUUGGAUUACAUUCAUUAAGAUCUUUGGGGUCCUUCACGUACCCCAUCAAAAGGUGGUGCCAGGUAUAUGUUAACUUUCAUUGAUGAUUAUUCAAGGAAAUUUUGAGUUUAUUUCCUGAAAAAUAAAAGUGAUGUUUUCUUAAAUUUCAAACAAUGAAAAGUUUUGAUUGAGAAGCAAACAAGAAAACAGGUUAAGCGGCUUAGAGCAGAUAAUGGCUUGGAAUUUUGUAAUGAUGAAUUCAACGAAUUUUGCAAGAAUGAAGGAACUGCUCGACAUCGUACUGUGAGAAUAACACCUCAGCAAAAUGGUGUGGCAGAAAGGAUGAAUAGAACUCUUUUGGAAAGGGCUCGUUGCAUGAUUUCAAAUGCUGGGUUGACAAACGCCUUUUGGGCAGAAGCUAUAUCUAUAGCUUGUUAUAUUGUCAACCGAGCUCCUUCUGCACCUUUGAACUUUAAGACUCCAGAGGAAAUGUGGUCAGGUACUCCUGCUAAUUAUUCUGAUUUAAAGAUAUUUGGUUGCCCUGCAUACAUGCAUGUAAAUGAUGGAAAAUUAGAGCCAAGGGCUAAAAAGUGCAUUUUCCUUGGGUAUGCAUCUGGGGUGAAAGGAUACCGACUAUGGUAUCCUGAUCCCACGACACCAAAAUUUAUAAUUAGCAGAGAUAUAACCUUUGAUGAAUCCUCUAUGUUACAUUCUAGAAAAGAGUCUUCUAGUUCUUGUAAUACAGAUAAAGGAAAUAGUACACAGAACCAGGUGGAGAUUGAGAUUGGCAUUCCUUCUGAGCCAAGCUUAUCAACUUUGGAGCAAAAUACAGUUGAAACUCCUGAAGUUGAGACAGAAGCUGAAAUUCUUGAAGUUGAGACUCCUGAAGUUGAACCAGAAGAAGAGGAGUAUUCUAUAGCCAAAUAUAGACCAAGAAGAGAAGGUAAACAACCAUUAAAGUUUGGAGAUUAUGUUGCAUUUGCUUUUUCAGUUGCACAGGAAACUGAAGAAAUUGGAGAACCAUCAAAAUAUUCAGAAGCAGUUUCUGGUGCUGACUCAGCCAAGUGGCUGAUUGCAAUGAAUGAAGAAAUUGAGUCUCUCCACAAGAAUGGUACUUGGUCUCUUGUGAAGACGCCAUCAGGAAAAAGAAUUGCUGGUUGCAAAUGGGUCUUCAAGAAAAAGGAUGGCAUUCCAGGGGUUGAAAACGCGAGGUAUAAGGCACGAUUAGUUGCAAAGGGCUAUAGUUAGGUACAAGGAGUUGAUUUUAAUGAUAUUCUCUCACAUGUUGUUAAACAUAGCUCUAUUCGUGUCUUGCUUGCCUUCGUUGCCAUGUAUGAUUUGGAAUUAGAAUAACCUGAUGUUAAGACAGCUUUCUUACAUGGCGAACUUGAGGAACAAAUAUACAUGCAUUAACCCGAAGGAUUUGAAAUUGAAGGAAAAGAAUAUAAUGUUUGCUUGUUGAAGAAAUCCUUGUACGGAUUAAAGCAGUCUCCAAGACAAUGGUCUAAAAUGUUUGAUUCCUUUAUGUUGGGUCAUGGUUAUUCGAGGAGCAUGUAUGAUAGUUGUGUUUACUUCCGAAAGUUAAAUGAUGGUUCAUUUGUGUACCUAUUAUUAUAUGUUGACGACAUGCUCAUUGCUGCUAAGGAUUUAACAGAAAUUCACAACUUGAAAAGUCAGCUGAAAAGUGAAUUUGAGAUGAAAGAUUUGGGAGCAGCUAAGAAAAUCCUUGGAAUGGAGAUCAAAAGAGAUCGAAAAGCCAACAAGCUAUUUAUGACCCAGAAGACGUACUUGGAGAAAGUCUUGGAGAUGUUUGGCAUGAAAGAUGCUAAACCAGUUAGUAUCCCUCUUGCUGCUCAUUUUAAGUUAUCAGCUGCUCAGUCCCCGCAGUCAGAGGAAGAAGAGAGGUACAUGGCACAUGUUCCUUAUUCCAGUACAGUCGGCAAUAUUAUGUAUGCAAUGGUUUGUACACGUCCAGACAUUUCACAAGCAGUGAGCGUGGUAAGCCGGUAUAUGGCUUGCCCUGGUAAAGCAUAUUGGCAUGCUGUGAAAUGGAUUCUCAGAUACUUGCGAGGUACUUCAAACACAUGUUUGGAGUUUGGGAGGAAUACUAAUACUUUGGUUGGUUUUGUAGACUCAGAUUAUGCAGGUGAUCUUGACAAAAGAAGAUCACUGACAGGCUAUGUAUUUUGCAUCGGUGGUUGCGCUAUUAGUUGGAAAGCUACAUUACAACAUGUAGUAGCUUUAUCUACUACCGAAACAGAAUAUAUGGCAGUGACCGAGGAGACCAAAGAAGCUUUAUAGUUGACGGGUCUAUUUACAGAGCUCAGUUUACACCAAAGUGGUAUUACCAUUUUCUGUGAUAGUCAAAGUGCCAUUCACUUGACUAAAGAUCAAAUGUAUCAUGAGAGGACGAAGCACAUUGAUAUAAAGUAUCAUUUCAUCCGAGAAACCAUUGCUGAAAGAAAAGUCUCUGUUCAGAAGAUCAACACUAGAGACAAUCCUGCUGACAUGUUCACAAAACCUCUUCCAGUGUCCAAAUUCAAGCUUUGCCUGAACUUGAUUGGCAUUUAUGAAGAAUGAUUUUGCCCAUUGGGGUUUUUGCGGAGAAGGUGGAGCAAAUUUACUAUAUAUAAGCCGAAAUUAGGCCAAGGUGAAAAUUUGUAAUAUGGCCAAAUUUUCAUGACAUUUGCCAUGACAUAAUAUCCAUUAUAACAAAUUUGUGGUUCAUGACAUUUGCCAUGACAUAAUAUCCAUUAUAACAAAUUUGUGGAUCAUGACAUUUGCCAUGACAUAAUAUCCAAUAUUAGGCCAAUGAUUUCUUGUUAUAAAUAGAGGAGUUUCUCCUCAUUUGUAAACACACCAAUUCAAGAGCUUUUCACUCUUGUCUUUCUUUCUCCUCCUUUAUUUCAUUAUAGAGUAUUUUGUAAGAGAGUGAGUUUUGGGAAAUACUUGUAUGAACCUUUUCUUUGGAGUGAUCUUGUGAGGUUAUUCUCUUGGGGUAUUUGGGAUUAAUUAGAGUAUUUACUCUAAUUUUGUACUCUCUUUUGUACUCUUGUUGGUAUAGUGAAAUUGCUCCUCUCCGCUUGUGAACGUAGGUCACCUUGACCGAACCACGUUAAAUUUGUGUCUUCUUUAUCUUCUUUAAUUGCCGUUAUUAUCAACUUGCAUUGUCUUUGUUAUUGUCAUUAUAACGUUUUUUGGUUAAAUUUCGCACUACCCGGUAACCGGAUCCUAACAGUUCAACUGAGAUAUAUUCUCUGAAAUGGUUAGAAUUUGGAGAUGACUUGCGUUAAAUGAAUUUCAAUUUUCACGGCUUGAUUAGAAUUUAC
rnacentral:lncRNA from 1 species